rnacentral:rRNA from 1 species
UACGAAGGGGGCGAGCGUUGUUCGGAAUUACUGGGCGUAAAGGGCGCGCAGGCGGCCUCUUGAAGUCAGAUGUGAAAUCCCCGGGCUUAACCUGGGAAUGGCAUUUGUGACUGCACGGCUAGAGUGUGUCAGAGGGGGGUAGAAUUCCACGUGUAGCAGUGAAAUGCGUAGAUAUGUGGAGGAAUACCGAUGGCGAAGGCAGCCCCCUGGGAUAACACUGACGCUCAUGCACGAAAGCGUGGGGAGCAAACAGG